UCCCAAAGCACUGGGAUUACAGGUGUGAGCCACUGUGCCCAGCCAGAAAUCUUUUGAUAAAAUGAAAAACCAUCCUCUUUUGCAUAAGUAUUGAGUGUCACAAAAUUUGCCCAAAAACUAUACCUAUGCAUUAUAUAGUUUUAAAAAAGCAUGUUUUCAUUUUUAUAAGGAUCCAAAAGAAUCAAUAGGCAAUUCUGGAAAUAAGCUAUUUAUUACCGUCUUCCUUUAUCCAUCUGCCAUUCACAUCUCAUUCCAACAACAUUUAAAAUCUUAAACAACCUCUCCCAAGGGUCCACGAUCUGGGAUGAUUUUUCGGUCAGCCCUUCUAUUAUAUACUUCUGAGAGCUACGUUUGCUAGGUGACAUUAAAUCAGAUGUAUCCUGGGCACCUGAGAUGGAAGAAAAAAGGAACCCACAAUUAACAUUAUGACUUAUUGUUGACAUGGUACCUGAUGAAGAAAGUCUGACUCCCCAUGAAAAUGCACAGAGCACCGAAUUCCAACACAUUUAUGUUUUGCUCAAGGACCGACAACAGGCCACUGGUAUAAGCAAGAAGUAAUUUCCACUACUUCAUCAUGAUACAUGUAUAAUGUUCCAUGCAAUAAUGUUACAGCUCAGCCAAAAGACUGUUUUGAUCAAGGGGUGGCACUGCUUCCAGGAAAGCCUCAUCUUUUAACUCUAGUAUUUUUUUCUAGAUACCAUCUUUUGAAACACUCCCAAACUGUUCAAUCUUCACCAGUGCUCUUCAGAAACUUACGCUUUGUAGCUCCUCACCAUACCGAUGAAUCUGUUGAUGACCCAUUGAAUUUUAUAUUAAGAGAAGGGGAAGAAUAAAAUCUCACCCCAUGUUGCACCACCGUUUCAGGGAAGCGCCUCAGAAGUAGAAGCAACAUUUCUGAUCGUUCUAACGUGUUGAAGCAUUGUUCCGUGACCUUUAGUAACAUUUCACACUGGACCCGACCAGGCAGAGUUUCAAAUAAACCUGUACGAAACAUAUUUCACUGUUAAAAGUUUCUUGCGGACAGCAAAGACUGCAGCAAAAGUGCUGAGUAAGGCAUUUUCAUCUACAGAACAGUAAACACUACAUGUGAAAUCAAUGUGGUUAAGUUUUACCUACAACCUGGCAGCCUUUUGGGGCCAAUAGUAUCUGGCACAGGAUGUUUGCUGAAUAAUGGUAAAAUAUUUGGAAGACUGAUCAAAUUCAAAAAACAAUGACGUAUGUGAAUGGUCACAAGAAUGCCUGUUGCAGGCUGAGAUAGAGAGCAUGUGCUUUUUGAAGCUGAAAUGACCUAAACAUCUACUUCUAUUUUACGCAGAAUUUGAAAUCUUUGAUUGACAACAGCAACAUGGAGAAGUUUAAAGAGGAAGCUUCUAAAUUACUAAAAGCUUCUCUCCUGUUUUGUGGAGAGCUGGUUAAUCUAUAGCUGCUAUCUGGUUACUGUAAAACCUGUUAAAAAUAUAUACAAUUAAUUCCUUGUCUCACUGACAAAUCCAUAUCCUUUAAAGAAGCUUAAAGGGUUCUAAGCAAAUCAAGGAACUGAGUGACAUUAUUAUAGACUUUGGUUGCCAAGAAUAAAACAUACAUAUGGUUAUCAAUA